AUGUUGAAGCACAUCCUGGAACCAGCCGAUCCCCUGCGUGUGGAACAAGUCAGCAGCGCCCUCCGGCAGUCAGAUCGCGCGACGGGCCCCGGCGGAGGGGAAAGGAAGGCCGGCAUGAGCAGCCAGGUGAUGCUCACCGCGCCGGCUAAAACAGGGCAACUUGUUUCCGGAGGCGUCACUGCGGCGGCGCGAUCGGUAAACGUCGUCGACGGCCGAAACAUGGCACAUAUCGGAUCGGACCGCAUGGCUUUCAUCGGCGGUGCCGGGGAAAGGAAUGUUAGAUCUGUACACACUUGCGCGCACUCAUCGCUUGAAAGGGGAGAAGUGGCUAUGGGACGAGUUGCCUUGCCGUCACCGGCGACCGUCGGUGAUGCGGCUGAGAGAGAGGAUGCUCGUGUGGGCGUGGCUGAGGCUGCUUCUGCGGGAAAAGAUAUCAGGGUUUUACCCGUGGCCAUCCGUUCGCCGUCCAGAUCGGUCAUCGCCGGCCAAGACAACACGGUCAGUCUGGGCAUCAAAGCAGGGGCAAGCGGCAAAGUGUCCGCGGUUGAUCAAGAAACGGAUCUACACUCUCCUAUGGUUCCUUUUGGGGAACACAUCUCUUCGUCGGCACCGCAGGACAAUCCGAUCGGCUCCUCCACGUCCUCAUCGUCAUCCACCUCAACCUCCGGCGACACAAACGGCGAGGGCGAUAUCUACAACAUAGGAGUUGCGGCAGCGUUGGCGAUGGACACCGAGGUAUUACGAUCCGAGAUCGCCAGGUAUCUCGGGCAGGAGUCCAAUAGGGAACAGAGGCCGCGGCGGCGGGCAAGGCAGCGGAAUGCCCCGGCGCCGCCCGUGAGAUUCUCCCUGCGUCUCACCGAGCAGGAGGCAAUGGAGGACGUGGCGGCCGUCUCCCUCGCCAAGGACAUCAAGUUGGAGGAGGCCGAGGGGAUGCCGGCGCACCGCAAUGCAAAACGUCGACGACGCUAG
rnacentral:rRNA from 1 species